rnacentral:tRNA from 1 species
AGUCUUAUAUUUAAUUUAUAAUAUUAAAUUGCAAAUUUAAAGUAGAAAAUCAUAAAAAGUCUAAGGCUU